AACGAACGCUGGCGGCAGGCCUAACACAUGCAAGUCGAACGAACUCUUCGGAGUUAGUGGCGGACGGGUGGGUAACACGUGGGAACGUGCCUUUGGGUUCGGAAUAACUCAGGGAAACUUGUGCUAAUACCGAAUGUGCUCUUCGGGGGAAAGAUUUAUCGCCAUUAGAUGGGCCCGCGUUGGAUUAGCUAGUUGGUGAGGUAACGGCGCACCAAGGCGACGAUCAGGAGCUGGUUUGAGAGGAUGACCAGCCACACUGGGACUGGGACACGGCCCAGACUCCGACGGGAGGAGGCAGUGGGGGAACUAGCGCAUUGGGCGAAAGCCAGACGCAGCCAUGCCGGGUGAAUGAUGAAGGUCUUAGGAUUGUAAAAUUCUUUCCCCGGGGACGAUAUGGAAGUAACGGGGAAAAGAAGCCCGGCCAACCUCGGU
rnacentral:rRNA from 1 species